GGUGGUCAUAGCGGGGGAGCCACGCCCGGUUUUCCUUUCCGAACCCGGAAGCUAAGACCCCCAGCGCCGAUGGUACUGUCCUUGUUAAGGGGCGGGAGAGUAGGACACUGCC
rnacentral:rRNA from 1 species